rnacentral:rRNA from 1 species
AGCUUUAAGAAAUCAUUUAAAGUAAAACCUGCUCAAUGAUAAUUUAAAUAGCCGCAGUUUAAACUGUGCUAAGGUAGCAUAAUAACUUGCUUCUUAAUUAGAAGAUAGAAUGAAUGGUUAAACGAAGAAAAACUGUCUCAUAAAUUAAAAUUAACUUAAAAUAUUAGUAAAAAUUCUAAUAUACAUAUGAAAGACGACAAGACCCUGACAAACUUUAUAUUCAGUUGGGGCAACAAAAUAAAUACACCUUAUAACACCUUAUAUAACUAUAAAAUAUAAUAUGAUAUAGUUACUGCAGGGAUAACAGCGCAAUUCUUUUUUAGAGUUCUAAUUGGAAAAAGACAUUACGACCUCGAUGUUGAAUUAGUUUUCCUUAAUGGUGCAAAAGCUAUUAAGGUGGGGUCUGUUCGACCAACAUUUAAAACU